UACGUAGGGUGCAAGCGUUGUCCGGAAUUAUUGGGCGUAAAGAGCUUGUAGGCGGUUUGUCGCGUCUGCUGUGAAAUUUCGGGGCUCAACCUUGGGCUUGCAGUGGGUACGGGCAGACUAGAGUGCGGUAGGGGUGACUGGAAUUCCUGGUGUAGCGGUGGAAUGCGCAGAUAUCAGGAGGAACACCGAUGGCGAAGGCAGCUCGCUGGGACGGUACUGACGCUGAGGCGCGAAAGCGUGGGGAGCAAACAGG
rnacentral:rRNA from 1 species